AAGCAGCAGUGCUGCUGCAUGGUCUGGUAAAGGCUGAGUUUCCAUAUGUGCUCUGGGGAGAAACAGAGCCCAAGCAGCAUCUGACAGGGGAAGAGAAGCCAAGUCCAGCACUUUCCCACAUGAAUCUCCAAGUGAGUGAUUAGGAAUGCAGCACAGAGAUGUCUGUGCUAUAACCAUAUUGAAGGAAGGACUGUAUUUUGCCUAUCUGGAAGCAUCAGGGUUGGAAGCAGCAUCUCAGUGCUUCAGUCUUCACACAGUUUAGAUCCAGCCCUGCCUGGCUCUGUCCAAGGCUAAUUUAUUCGUACUGAUUAAGAGUUUAGGGUUAACUCCACUAGAGGACACUGUUGUUAAAUAUAUGUGGGGAUUUGUAAGAGUGCAGUCUACAUAGAACAUUCUCCUGGCUAUGUAGGAAAUGAUCUUAAAUCAGAUUACGGCUCUUUUUCCCCCACCUUCUGCUGAAAACCAGAAUAGAUUAUUCCAGAAUCAAGCAAACAUCCUACCUUUUGUAAAAAGCAGAAGGGAGAGGCAGAUGCCAGGUAUUCAAAACCAUUCUUAUUUCUGGAGGUGCAGCAUGUCUGACACUGUACAAAGACAAUGGAAAGACAUAGUCCCUUGCCCAAGAAAUGUACAGAAAAUGCAGACACACGUAAAUACAAGUUAAAGAAAGGAUAGUCUCUAUGACCACUGGAAAACUGAGCUGACAUGUUAAAAUCAUUCCUUGGAAGAUCUUACUGAUAGCAAUAUUCUCACAUGGCAAUGAUACAGCAGAAACAGGCAGUCGGUUCUGACCUCAUACUUCUUUUCAGUCACUGAUCUUUAUGAUUCCAGAAUAUAAGGAAUAGUAAAAACCAGAAUGAAUUGCUUUCAUAAAUACCCUAAAGAAUGCAGGGCGCUGCGCAGCAGAGAAAUAUGAUUUAACUAUAAUAAAAUCAGAAUUAAAUAACA